rnacentral:misc_RNA from 1 species
UACGGAGGGGGCUGGCGUUAUUCGGAAUUAUUGGGCGUAAAGCGCGCGUAGGCGGCUUUGUAAGUUAGAGGUGAAAGCCCAGAGCUUAACUCUGGAAUUGCCUUUAAGACUGCAUCGCUUGAAUCAUGGAGAGGUGAGUGGAAUUCCGAGUGUAGAGGUGAAAUUCGUAGAUAUUCGGAAGAACACCAGUGGCGAAGGCGACUCACUGGACAUGUAUUGACGCUGAGGUGCGAAAGCGUAGGGAGCAAACAGG